rnacentral:rRNA from 1 species
UACGUAGGGCGCAAGCGUUGUCCGGAAUUAUUGGGCGUAAAGAGCUCGUAGGCGGCUUGUCACGUCGGGUGUGAAAGCCCGGGGCUUAACCCCGGGUCUGCAUUCGAUACGGGCAGGCUAGAGUGUGGUAGGGGAGAUCGGAAUUCCUGGUGUAGCGGUGAAAUGCGCAGAUAUCAGGAGGAACACCGGUGGCGAAGGCGGAUCUCUGGGCCUGACCUGACGCUGAGGAGCGAAAGCGUGGGGAGCGAACAGG